GAGGGGGGCCUGCGUGCGAGGGCGGGCGGGCGGCGAGCAGCUGCGUGUGGAGAAGCGAGCGCCUCGAACGGGCCUUGUGGCGCUGUGGGAAAAUGGCGCUGGGAAAGCUGGCGCUCCAGUGGCGCUGCGAGGGAUGAGAGUGCCGUGCAAAGACCAGAAUUGUUCGCUUUCCUCCAUUUCCUGUGUCUCUAAAGGAAUAAGCCCGGGUGCUUCCAAACAGAGAGCAGCUUCUGUGAUGGCUUAGAAAAUCAGUGAAGUCUCCAACAGCCAUGUACAUGCAAUUACCUACAGGCUGAAGCAUCCAACUGAGUAACUGUCCUAUGAAGAGAGGCUGAAGACCCUUACGCUGCCCAGCCUGGAGAAGAGGAGGCCAAGAGGUGACCUCAUUGCUCUCUACAGCUUCCUGAGCAGGGGAAGAGCAGAGGAAGGUCUCUGAAACACACUGUCCACGUGGUUGCAGAUCUCAGUACUCGGCCCAGUCUGGAUCAGAAUUACUCCAGUGAACAUGACAUGGAACAUCUAGCAUUACACCAGCUUUGAAUUUUUUUUCCUGAUAUUUAGCCAGUAUUUUCUUGAUUUAACUUGUAAAUUCUGCUGAUAAUCAUAAUAGCAUAUUUAAACAAUUUUUAUAGAACUCAGGAAAGGAACAAAUUAAAGGGCAGUGCUUAAUUCUUUUUUUCUUUUUAUACUCUGAUACUCUUUUCUCUUAAGUGUCAUCUAAUUUCAGACUAUAUUUCUAUGGCAAUAUGAACAUAUUUGUACUUGAAAAUACGGUAAGAGCCUAUCAUUUCUAGUGAAAUGUUAUCGAAGCAAGUUGAAACAUGAGUAGUGUGUUUUGAACACUUAAGGCUGAGUUGUUAAAUACUGUGUUCUGAUAGGGGACAGGCAUUCAUAUCCUUAGUCCAGUCUGACAUGGUAGCAAUGGACUUGCUUCUGCAUCCAGUAUUUCAGAAGUCCUUACUGGAGUCUCAAUUGGGUCCUUGUCCCAGGAACUUUUCAGUGCUGCUGUGCUAGCCAUUGAAUCCCAGGUGGAAAUCCUGAGCUGUAAAAGUGUUGCUGCAGUCUCAUCCAAGAAGCAGUUGUUUGGCACUGGGAAUUCAGCUUCCAUGGUUUUAAGACAGCAGUUGAAAGGCAAUAACAAUGAGGAAAAACCUAGUUACCCCCAGAAUGGACUUCAGGAAAUGCAUUCCGAAUGUUGAACACAAGCACUAACGAAUUAUCACUAGCAUCAGUGUUCUCUUCAAAAACAGAAAAAAAAAGUCACGUUCACAUAGGCUCAGAUUCUCCUUUUAUAAUUAAGUAGUGCCUGAAUGGAAGCAUCACUAAUUUGAUGAAUGUAAUAAAAUCAUUCAAAGAACGAAAAAAAUUUCAAAGCCAUACUUUUAUUUUCAGUUGGGUUUUACUGAUAAUUUCCUGUUUGGCAAUGUUUCUACAGAAUAGUUGGAGUACCACUAUUUUAAACUGUGCUUUCAUGGCAAUUGCCUACAGAAAAUUGUUUACCCUUGAAGUGGUAUAUACACCCUCUUCUAAUUUUUCAAGCAUAAACCCACCCUAGAUCUGGUUCUGAUUUUAAAAUGUGCCUAUCAGCAGACAUAAAACAUGCACAGAAUUGUUUACUAUUUACAGCUUCAAACAAAAGAAAGCAGUUUACAAUAACCACUGAAUUUCCUUUGCUUGCAGUUUACUGUCACCACAGGCUUUAUUUAUAGUAGGCCUGAAAUAAAUACUGCAGAAUCAGCCAUCUAUUGGUGCUGUGCGAAAAAAGGAAAGCUAUUAAAUAUUUACCAUAAAUCUCUCAUAGCUUUGCCUCUGAUUCUUUCCCUUUUGCUAGAAAAAAGGAUUAUUUAGCUCCUGAUUUUCCAGCAAAAGGCAGUCAAUUGUGGCUGCCUGGAAGUAAAUGGUGCUCCAUCACUGGCAUGCCUUUGGAGCGGGAGAUUGUGUCAAUGCCCGCCAGGCACAGAAGGCCUGCACCUUCCCUGCUCCCCUGCAGCAGCACAUGGUGACGCCAAAGCAGGCGUCUUCGAGUGUCACAGGAAUGCUUGUGCCAGCAGAAUGAGACACACUCAUAUUACAGCACUUUCCAAAACUAAGUCAGUACAUUUGGUGAAUCUUUUCCAAGGAGGCUGAUCAGAUUCCUUGAGUUAAGAUCAAAUGAAUGUUGUGGAUGCUCCAGUGAAAUGUGUUGACAAAUAAUACUGCACUCAUGCAUUGCAUUUACUGUGAAUUUAAAAAAGAAACCUAUUUGUAGCAAAUAAAAAUAGAUUUUGCAUGCA